ACUCCAAUGGCUUCUGUGUCAGCACACCCACACCAGGCCACAACAAUGGCUGCCGCCAAUGUCCCAGUCCCUGGAGAGGUCUCACCCCUCACCAAGAUGCACUCAGGGCCUAUUAGGUGAGUCUCUUGUCACCAAAGCACUGUGCACCUUUCUUUCUGGUGAUUUUAGGAUGCUUUCUGAAAUGGCUGAAAUUUACUGCAAAGAUAACUAUCUGCAUUCCCAAAUCUCGUGAAAUUUUAACUUGUGCCUGAAGCUGUGCUUUUGUUUUGGAAUGUUCUCCCAAUCAAAAUUAAAUGAAUAAGAAUUCAAAUAAGAACUUGAAGACCUCAGUUACUAGUUUCAUCAUUCAUAAACACCUGGAAUCUCAGAUUGAAGUCACUAUUAUGAAUUGAGUCAGACCAAAGGACAUAGCAGAAGAACUUGAGGAACUGCAGCCCCAGCAUCUUGAAAUGAAUCGUAAUCUACGGAAAUCUACAGCCAAAGGAAUGAAAUGAUGUGCCAUUUUUGAAAGUGCUUCCAGAUUUGCACCUGCAAAAUUACAGUGCACCAGUUUGUGAACAAAACCCACAUUGACACACCACGGAGCCUUUGAGGGCAUAGAUUGCAUUACUGUACACCAAUUUACCCAAUUUGCGUGAGUAAAGACAGCUUUGUCUACAUAAAUUGAUGCACAUAUUUUUGCUGAAUUUGGUAGCAUCAAUGAAGAGAGUGUAGGAUAGGGGAUGUGACCUUCAAAUCACAAAAUGAAAUUAACAUCUUUAAAGGGAAAAAAAUGUUCCAACUAGUGGACUCCUUAGAAUAUAAGGCUAUUUUUCUCAUGAUUAGGUGCAUAAUAUUCACAAUAACUCAACCAUAUAUUAGAAAGCUAAAAUACUUCCUAUUUCAUAACAAUUUGACUUAAAAUUAUAUGUAACUCUGAGCAUCCCAGUAAAACAUGCAGUGACACAACUUUGAAAAAGUAUCAGCAUAUUUAGGAAAUAUUGUUAGUUAUUCAGUAUUGUUCCAUGCUUCUUUUCAUUUAAGGUAAAAGAGGAAGAUUGUUUUAAAACUUGUAAUUGAUUCUCCCAAGAAGGUAAUUUCUGUUGUGAUUAUCCCCAAAGUGUUACACCAUAGCAUGCAGAAGUUACACUCAACAGUGUCUUUCCUCGUCUUAUGAUUAGAGCAAGAAUUGCCUCCUGGUCAAAGCACAUGGGCAUGUAGAGAUAGACACUCCAGCCAUACAUAUCGAGAUAAUCAAUAAGUAUAACAGUAGUAAAUGCAGUAAUUUUGGCAAAACUUAUUUGGAGAAAAUGACUGCAUCUCACAUGUGUUCCCGGUGUGCCUUUAUGGCAUUGACUAUAAGUAUGGGAUGUAGGAAAAGAAAAUGCCAGUAAUUCUUUUUGCCGUUCCCUCCCACCCGCUAUGGUUCUUAGAAUUGUAUUAUUUUAAACCAUUUUUGACACAUUUGACCACAUGAAGUCAUGCAUUUUUAAGAGCUGUUCUUUUUACACUAACUUGAACUGACAAGUCAGGAAAGCAGACUUCUUUGGUGACUCAAGUCGGCCUGCAGCUCACUGACAGGGUUCUCCCCACCUGUUUCCAACACAACACAGUGAGGCAUGAAAGGAUAGUGCAGGUUUACAUACAUUUGAGAGCAAGAAUUCAAGUAGAAUAAAAUACAGGGUAAGUCACAAGAUACUGUGAAAACACACACACGUGCACACUCACUAAAUUAUAGAUAGAAAUAUGUUUGAAAUGAAUAUUCUUUGUCAGUGUAGAGAUGAAAUCAUGAUAAAUACUUCCUUGCAGUCUGAGACCAAAGUCAAGAUGACAUUAAGCUGGAGAAACGGAAAAUUUAUCUCAGUUUUUUCAGCAAGUGGUUGUAGGAUAUACUGUUAUACUCUGGGGAUUAGGAGAGUGGGAAUUUUCCCUCUCCCCCUCCUUCCCCUCUUUCUCUCUCUCCUUCUUCUUCUUCUCUUUCUCUUUCUCUCUCUCUCACAUACACACACACCACAACAGGCGUUCUUCUUUUGGGUUAGUAAUAUUGAGAUUCUCAAGGGAUGUAUUGAAAAUAUGCCUAGCACUAAAACUCAGUGAAAACAUCUGGAUGUUUUGGUCUCCAUAAUGUAAAAGAUCCAGAUGUUUGAAAAUAUGCUUACUGACAUGUGUGUGUGU